CCAGCAGCACCCAACAGGGAACGGCUUCCUCUGGCACCCCGGAGGGUAGAUUUCUGGCAGGUUCCACCACAAGUGCAACAACACAGGUACUCCUGGCUGUGCAAGUUUUCCAGAUGUUCCUUGUUUUUGAUGACCUUGACAACUUUGAAGAGCACUGGCCAGGAAAUGCAAGUCAGUGAAUCAGUGGAAAAGCAAUGCAAAUUGAUGCUCAUCUGAAGAAAUACAGGAAGUCCCACUAAAGCCCACCAGCCUGCACUGCCCUUCACCGCAGGCCCUAGCCUUCGACCAGGAAUUGGCUCAAGUGGUUAUGGAGGCUGAGAAGCUGAGAUGUCCCAAGAUAUGCAGCUGGCAAGGUGAAGACCCAGAAGAAAUGAUGGCGUAAUUUCCAGUCGAAGUCCAAAGUACAUGUCAAUGGCGGAAGUUCCAAUAUGAGUCUGAAUCCAAAGGCAGGAGAAGACCAAUGUCCCACCUCAAAGACAAUUAGGAAGAGAAAGUAAACUUUCCUUUACUCAGCUUUUUAUUCUACUCAGGUCUCCAAUGAUUAGAUGAGGCCUGUCCACGUUGGAGAGGGCACUCUGUUGUGCUCUGUCUACUGACUCCAAUGUUAAUUUAUCCAGAAAUACCUUCACAGAUACAUCCAGAAUAAUUUUUAACCAAAUAUCUGGAUACCCUGUGGCACAGUCAAGUUGACACAUAAAAUUAACCAUCACAAACCAUUUUUUGAUUACGCAUAGAUAGUAGAAACAACUGUUCCUACCUCUGCAUUAUUAAAUCCUUCCUGGGACAUCAAGAAACCAUAUUAUCCAACAAUUAAUUACUUUGGCUACCCUUGUUCCCUCACCUCUCCCCACUACACUGGGCCGCACUCCCCCUUCCUCUCUACUAGGUGUUUGGAAGAUGAUUAGCAGCAGUAAAAUUGGUUUAGAUUUUAUUCAUAUUCCUAGAAAUUGAAUUUGUGUCUCUUUAAGGCAUAUGCAUUUAAAGAA